CCUACGGGGGGCUGCAGUGAGGAAUAUUGGUCAAUGGCCGAAAGGCUGAACCAGCCAAGUAGCGUGAAGGAUGACGGCCCUAUGGGUUGUAAACUUCUUUUUUAUGGGAAUAACGGUAUCCACGUGUGGUUGCGUGCAUGUACCAUAAGAAUAAGGAUCGGCUAACUCCGUGCCAGCAGCCGCGGUAAUACGGAGGAUCCGAGCGUUAUCCGGAUUUAUUGGGUUUAAAGGGAGCGUAGGCGGGAUAUCAAGUCAGCUGUGAAAUGUAGAUGCUCAACAUCUGCACUGCAGUUGAAACUGGUGUUCUUGAGUGCGUAAGAGGUAGGCGGAAUUCGUCGUGUAGCGGUGAAAUGCAUAGAUAUGACGAAGAACUCCGAUUGCGAAGGCAGCUUACUGGGCCGCAACUGACGCUGAAGCUCGAAGGUGUGGGUAUCAAACAGGAUUAGAUACCCCGGUAGUC
rnacentral:rRNA from 1 species